rnacentral:rRNA from 1 species
CGUGUAGGCGGUUUGUUAAGUCUGAUGUGAAAGCCCCGGGCUCAACCUGGGAAGUGCAUUGGAAACUGGCAGACUUGAAUACGGGAGAGGGUAGUGGAAUUCCUAGUGUAGGAGUGAAAUCCGUAGAUAUUAGGAGGAACACCGGUGGCGAAGGCGGCUGCCUGGACCGAUAUUGACGCUGAGACGCGAAAGCGUGGGUAGCAAACA